AAAAAGGUUCAAUGGUGGAGCUUGUACAAAAGAUACAAAUACGCCAACAAGCUGAUUGAAUGGGAUGAAUCUCUUCAACGACUUUUGGAAAUACUAAACGUUCAGGGAAUAAGGGAUAUGAAGGACAGCUCCCUUUCGGUGAGGAAUAUAGAGAAUGUGCUCAGCAGAAUUGAAUCGAAUAUGGUGAUACCAAAACAACCCGACAGUGAAGCUUGGUGUGCCGUACCUCAACUUCCGCCGCUUGUGGUUGGAUUGGAUUUUCCUCUAAAGGAGCUGAAGAUGAAGCUUCUAAAGGACAAAAAUGUUUCAAUGGUUGUGCUGACUGCUCCCGGAGGAUGUGGGAAAACCACUUUGGCUACAAAGUUUUGUCAAGACAAGGAUAUCAAAGGUAUCGAUCAUAUAUUUAUAAGUUAGAACUCAGAAUUCUGUAUGUUUUUAACUUUGUACAACUAUGGCAGAUUUAAAUGAUGCCUCAAUGACAGAUUUAUUAUUUUUUCUUUGGAUAGAUACAUUCAAGGAUAAUAUCUUCUUCGUCACAGUUUCAAAAAAGCCUAAAUUGGAAAAUAUUGUUCAAGAUCUAUAUCAACGCAAGGGUUUCCCGGCAUCUACUUUCGAAAACGAAGUCAGUGCAGUGAUGUUGCUGCAACGUUUUCUGAAGGAAGAAGGGCAGAAUCCUUUCCUGAUUGUCCUGGAUGAUGUUUGGUCUGGAUCAGAAUCCCUUGUGGAGAAGUUUGAUCAAUUCAAAACAGAAAAUCACAAGGUUUUGGUAACAUCUAGGUCUGAAUUUCGGGGAUAUGGUUUCCCUUGUCAUUUGCAAUCAUUGGAUCAUGACAAUGCGAUGAAACUUUUUCAUCAUUCAGCAUCCCUUGGAGAUAAGAGCUCUCAUAUUCCAAAAGAUCUUCCAGAAAAGGUACUUUUUAGUUGCAGUGCACAAAAAUGUAUAGUCAAAAGUUAGUUGACUUGGUUUUGGAAAAUUAUCAAGAUAUUAUGUUCACUUUACCAUAUAAACCUGUGAGUAAUCAUGCAUUUGAGCAUACUUGUGGCCUAAAACUAAAAUUAGAUUUAUGUAGAUGGUUAUUUUGCCUUUUUCUCAUCUCCAUAACUUGAAUUUUGGCUUUGCAACUAAAAAGGUAGUUUACUUUGUUUUGGAAAAUUUUCCUGCAGAUAGUUGAGCGUUGCAAGGGAUUUCCACUUGCGAUUACAGUGGUGGGGAAAUCGCUUUGCGGGAAGCCUAUAGAGAUAUGGCAAAAAAGAGUAAUUGAAUGGUCUAAAGGUUUUUCUAUUCUUGAUUCAGAGACUGAAUUGCUUUUGUGCCUGGAACGAAGCUUGGAUGCCUUGGAUAAAGAAAUGGUUGGCAUCAAGGAAUGUUUCUUAGACUUAGGUUCAUUUCCGGAAGACCAAAGAAUCCCAGCUGCUGCCCUCAUUGAUAUCUGGGCAGAGUUAUAUGAUGUAGAUACAGAUAUAAAGUGCAUUGCAAACCUCUACGAGCUAACCACACGAAGUCUAGCUAAUCUUGUUGUUACAAGGUGUGCAUGCUUUGUUUUCUCUUGUAUAAUAUUUUCGCUCUAUUUUCCCCUUUAUAUUCACGACUGGUUGAUGCUAAUAACUUGUUAUUGCAAUAUGUUGGUUGAAGAAUCUCUUCUAAGAAAAUUAGUUUUGAUCAUCACCAGGAAGGACAAGAUGGAGGGGGACGGGUACUAUAGUGAGCACUUUGUUACCCAACAUGAUGUUCUUCGGGAGCUGGCUAUAUACAACACAAAAAAAGGACCGGUGGAACAUAGAAAAAGACUGAUUAUUGACAUAUGUGGAGACAAUCUUCCAAAAUGGUGGAGAGAACAGAAGCAUCAGCCUAUGAAGGCCCGCUUAUUAUCCAUAACAACUGGUUGUUCCAUCUCUCCCUUUCUCUUUAGCAAUUGCGUAGACAUGCACAAAUAACUAGUCAUUCUUGCACACGGUCGCAUGCGCACACAUUAAUACUUUCAUUUUAGUUUCCCCUCCUCACACUUACAGUUGUUACUUUGCAGAUGAAUGGUUUUCAACAAAAUGGCACGACAUGCAAAUGCCAGAAGUUGAGGUUUUGGUGUUGAAUUUCCAGACAAAGAACUAUGCCUUACCCGAAUCCGUGGUGAACAUGGAUGAAUUGAAGGUUGUGAUAGUCACAAAUUAUGGUUUCUUACCGGCUGAAUUAAGUAACUUCCAACUUUUGAGUUUGUUACCAAAUCUUAGGAGAAUCAGAUUAGAACGCAUCUCAAUUCCUUCAAUAACCAAGAAUCUCAUACAAUUGGCGAGUCUGAAGAAGAUAUCCUUGUUCAUGUGUAACAUUGGUCAAGCUUUCAACAACUGUUCCAACCAAAUCUCGUCAGCAUUCCCAAAUCUAGAGGAAAUGAACAUCGACUAUUGCAGUGAUUUAAUUGAAUUGCCCGCAGAGGUUUGUGAUCUUAGUAAACUAGGGAAGCUCAGUGUCACUAACUGCCAUAAGUUAUCUGCCUUGCCUGAAGGGAUUGGAAAGUUGGAAAAUUUAGAACUGUUGAGGCUAAGAUCGUGCGCUGAACUGUCGAAGCUUCCAACCUCAAUGAAGAACCUUGGAAAGGUAAACUUUCUUGAUAUAUCUGAUUGCUUCAGCAUCAAGGUGUUGCCCGAAGACAUUGGUGAAAUGAGUAGUUUAAGAAGGAUCAACAUGAGGCAAUGCUUACGGUUGCAGGAGCUGCCUCCAUCAGUCGUGGAUCUUGAGCAGUUAGAGGAAGUGGUCUGUGAUGAGGAGACAAAAUAUUUAUGGGAAUCUUUCUUGUCGUGUCUCAACAACGUAAGGAUAAUUGUGGCCAAAGAGAAUAUCAACCUAAAUUGGCUCCACAAGACUCAGUUCUGAUAUAUGUGUAUCCUCAGUGAAGGUUGUUCUUUAAACUCUUUGGUUUGUGUUUUUAGUGGGGCUUAUGGAAACUCGACUGUAACAUAGUUUCAAAUUCAAUCGCUGUACAUUUGCUUGACUUUCUUGUUUGAAAAUCUGUAUGUGUAAUCCAACGCCACAAUCUGAUUCAUGUUCUCCCAAAAUAAAUUCAACGCCACAAGGUUGAAGAGUCCCAUAAAAUAAAGAACUUUCAUGUCACGGGAUCAGGUGUUAAUCUUGUUGUGGAUAAGUUUCUUUGGUAUUUAUAUUAAGGUCAAGUGGUCAAGUUUCCAGAACUGUUCAUAUAAUCGAGAUGUUGUUGAACCAUAUAUUUACCCAAAGAAAAUAUAUUAAUAAGAAAAAAGAGAAUCUCUACAACUCAUACACGCACGUGGACCUCGAUGUGUGACAAGUUUGAGUUCGUGUAUGUAUGGAACUCUCCCAAAACUCUCACGUUCUCCACUAGGUGAUGGCCUUCUCUCAACCUCUCUACAUCCUCGGAAAGUGGCACACGUAACAGAGUGGAUAAGGAUCUCUGAACUGCUCCUUGCGUCUAUAAAAUGACGAAGGCUAGAUUCAAAUAAAAGGAGGAGACUGACGACCAAGAGCUGAGAGAGGGUCAAGAGGGCAGCGGAGGAGAGAAGAACGAAAACUGCAAAAAUAGAAAGAGGCUUAACAGAAAGAGAAGAAAUGAGCAAAGGGCUGUAAUUACGCAGAACUUUCACGAGGAAGAAGAAUCAAAGGUAAAAGUUUUAUUCUUCUUUAUUAUUUAUUUCCUUACACUAAUCUCCACUUCAUGGCACGGGACCUUCGAAGCAAAGUUAGUUUCCUAGAUGCUCCUACAAGGAGAUGCUCCAGUGAAGGACCUCUCUCUAUAACAAAUCAAAAUGGUUCCAAUCCCUCUUUGCCCUAGAAGCAAUCUUCCGGAUCAAAGCCGCUGGGCAAGAAGAAAAACCAGAAGCAAUAACCCUUCUCCGCUAUCAAAGUGCUCUUCGAAAUUAGACUGACAAGGUUAGCUUUCCUGUGAUUGUAGCAGUUUGGCAUGCAAGAACAAAAAUGGUUCCUGCCACAAGAAAAGCACAGCAAUUCUUGCCUUUUUUUCGAAAGAACGUAUCCAAUUGGCAUAGAAGGAUGGUCGAAGUCUUCUCGUCAAGACUUUCUCGGCACAGCAUAUCUGCACGCAGACACAAAGGUGCCGGAAAGUAAACUCCUUCAAGGUGUUCAUCUUUAGCGGCUCAGAUCUACUCAUCAAUCAUUUUUUCGGCACAGCAUGUCUUCAUGUAGACACAAAGGUGCCGGAAAUUGAUCUUUACAGGGAAUGUCGAAACCUACUCGUCAAUAAUUUAUUCGGCAUAGCCUGUCUCUAUGUAGACACGGAGGUGCCGGAAAGUGAUCUUUAAGGGAAAAGUCUAAAUCUACUUGUCAAGAAUUUUCUCGGCACAACAUGUCUCCUAGUACACACGGAGGUGCUGGAAGGUGAUCUUUACAGGGAAUCAUGGACGAAGCCAAUGAAGGCUCACUGAGGGCAGAUGCUCCCACUCAAGUAAUUCAUUUGUUUAGUUGCAAACUACAAUUAUAUAAUAUACACAGGUUAUUUUUCAAGAAAAUAUAUGUAUCUAAUAUCUAACAUACAUUCAUUCUACUUAUACUCCAUAUCAAAUAUUAUAUGAGCAAUAGUGCUCUUGUUCUAUCAUUCAAACCGAAAAAAUCAUCUCCCGCCUAUCAUGUACUUAUAUUUUUCUCAUCACUUAGCCACUUUCCACUACUAUAUUGAAAUUUUUGUAACAUUGGAAUUGUGAUACAUCAUCAUUUGAAACCAUCCUUAAUAUCAUACUGUGUACAACCAUACUAUAAUAAAAUUUUCUUAGUUAUUUUUUGUUGCCCCCACUAGAAGAAAUUUUUGGCUUCAUCUCUACAGGGAAUGUCGAAAUCUACUUGUCAAAAAAAAAAAUUUCACCACAACAUGUCUCUAUGUAGAUACGGAGGUGCCAGAAAGUGAUCUUUACAAGAAAAGUCGAAAUCUACUCGUCAAAAAUGUUCUUGGCACAACUUGUCUCCACGUAGACACAGAAGUGCCGAAAAGUGAUCUUUACAGGAAAGGUCGAAAUCUGCUAAUCAAAGAAUUUCCAGCACAACAUGUCUAUAGGUGGAUGUGGAGGUGCUAGGAAAUUGACAUCUCUACACUAUGACAUUUGUACACUAACACCAGGGCCUGCCCAGGCCCAGUGCAGGUAGGGCUAGCAUUCGGGGUCCAAACAAAUUGGGGGCACCAAAAUGAUUAGGGUGAUAUAUUGAUAUAUGUUUUCAUAAGAGUAUAAAUUUAUAAAAUUUGGCUCAAUGAUAAAAAAAAUUAAUUAGAAGUGGUGGUAUUGUCAUUUGAAAUUAAUGAGGAGGUCACGGGUUCAAAACAUCAUAUGUGCUUAUUUACUUUUCAAUUUUUACAAAUUUCUUUUCAUAUAAGUAUAAAUUUAUAAAAUUUGGUUAAAUGAUCAAUAAGUUUAAUUAGAAGUUGUUGAUGCACAAAAUCUGGUGGAUCUUGGACCAACGUAAAUCCGGCCGUGAAUCACAUAAACGCACAAGAACACAAAGAUGUAUCGUGGUUCACCUCAAUGUUUGGGCUACGUCCACACUGAUGUUGAUUCCAUUUUACUGUAUGAAUGUAUAGAUUACAAUAGAUCGGCAAAUGAGCUCUCUGUGGAUGCAGCCCUUGCUAUUUUGCUCUCUAUGGAUGCAACCCUUGCCAUUUUGCUCUCUGUGGAUGCAGCCCUUGCCAUUUUGCUCUCUGCAAGGGAGCUCUAUUGUUGUGAGGGAUGUGAGACUCUCUUCUUUCUUCGCUCUUUGUGAAGGUGAGGACGAUCCCUUUUAUAGAGUAAGGGUGUCCUCCUCUUACAUAAAUCAUGGGCUCAAUAUCGAGGCCCAAUAUAUGGUACAACAGGAGUCCCCCAAGUCUUUAGUCAAGAGAGUCUUUUGGCUGGAGACUUUAAAUCCAAUCCAAGUACGAGCCGAAGUGGCUAGAUGUCGUCCAGAACUGGUACUUUACAUGAGACGAUACUUAACGUCAAGCAAGACUCAACUAGAGGUAGCACACGUUGCGAGGCUACUCGGCUAGAGGCGAUGCUUUCAGCGAGACGGUUACUCGGCUGGAGGCGGUGCUCGUUGCGAGGCGGCUCGGCUUGUGGCAUUCCUCGUUGUGAGUAUGCACUCAACGUCAGCGUGUGCUCAUUAUGAGUUGAUUCUUGAUAUGACUUUGGUCCACUUGUCGAGUUCGCAUAUUGGGUCUAUGUGCCAGAUCCUCGAAUCGGGUCCAUAAAUCGGGUCUUUGAGUCGGGGCCAUACGUAGGGUCAUCGAGUCGGGGCCAUCUAUAGGGUUUUUGAGUUGGGUCCGUGAGUCGAGGUUCGAGCUCAAGGGUGUCCAGGCACAUAAGUGUCCAAACAUGUGAGUGUUCGAGCAAGUGGGUGUCCGAUCAGACAAGAGAUCACCGUUCAAACUAAAUCUUUGUCACCAUAAGCAUGUGGCUUAUCAGUCUAUAAGUUGGUAAGCUUCUUUAAUCAUUGGCAAUGUUGAUCAACAGAGCUAGUUGCUCAAUAAUUCCUGACAAUAAAUGACAGUAUAAGUACAAACGUAUAAUGAAUAAAUCAAAUUAACAUAGUUUGGUAAUGCAAAAUAUUGUACCAUGUGCCUACUACAAAUAAAUAAUUUAUUAAGUUGUGUAGUAAAUCACAUGUUGCAUAAGUGACAUAGUUAAUGAGCAGUCAUUGAAUCACUCGGCAAUGAAUAAAUAUUUACACAAGUAAGUGAAAUAUGAGCCAGUACAUGUGAUAAUUAUGAGGUGAAUACCACAAAAUGAAAGGAUGUGAUGUCUGAUUAUGUCACAUGGCAUAGGAAUAGUGAUGUGCCGAAAGACUAUCAGCAUUAUAAUAAAAUAUUUAAACACACAUAUUUGUAUUGUGUAGUGUGCAUAAGCCUGUGAUACAUCACCACAACUUUAAAUAAUAAAACUUUGUGUGAUGUGCUUUGCCACGUUAUUGAUAGUGAUCAUGUGAUAAAUAUCACAAAAUAAUAAAAUAAUAAAUAAAUAAUUUGAGAAAACAUGAUGUAAAAAGUAAAGCUUUUUUUUUUUUUUUUCUUUUGGCAGAUGGCAGACAAAGGAAAAGUAAAGCUUUUUUCUUUUCGCAGAUGGCAGACAAUACCAAAAGGGAAUAAUAAUAGAAUUAUUAUGAGAAAGCUUAUUUUCUUCCUCUCUACUGUCGGUCUGGUUGAAGGUUAUGGCUUCCUUUGAUUACUUUUGGGUUGACAUUUCUGACGGAUUAAAAAAUCAAAAUCAAAUAAUAAAAAUCUAACUUGUUUUGGAAGAUGGAAAUAUGUCAGUGGUGUUGAACUUUCGGUCGCCGCCGUCUUCGGUGGUGGCUAAUAGGAGGAGUUUACCACCGAGCUUGGGCGAGGGCGAGGGCCUGGACUUGGGCGAGAGUGCUGACUCUAGAGAUGCAGAAGCGGAGGUCGAAGGUGAUGACGGCCUCCAAGAUCUCACUGUACUUGUCGAAGUGCUCUCUCAAGGCCUCUUUGGGAAUCUCCCACGCCAACCCUCCGACAAAGACUUUGGUUAGUGUGGUGUCACCAAAUACUAGGAGUAGUUUGGCUCUGAGAAGCAGCACCAUAAGGGAUGCAGCAAGACAUGCAUACUGAGGUCGUGCCUGUAUUGGAUCGGAUGGUGGAGAUGAGCUGCAACGGCUGCCGAGUGCUCCGGAAGGGAUGCAGCGACACAUGCAUACUGAGGUCGUGUCUGUACUGGAUCGACUCUCCCGAAGCCCAAGGCAACGCCACCUUGUUCCUCGCCAAGUUCUUUAGCCACAAUGAUCUCCUCUCAUUCGUCUUCGUCGUACCGGAAAACCAACGCCCCGGUAAACAACCAAUUAAUUAAUUAAACAAUAUUGCAAUAAUUUUACACGAUUAAUAUUUGCCAUUAAUUAAUCCAUAUUUUCCUUUUUCUCGAUCAGCUAUGUUUCAGUCUCUGCUGUUCGAAGCGUGCGGCCGCAUGGUGAACCCGGUGAACGGAGCGGUGGGGCUUCUGUCGAGUGGGAACUAGCACGUGUGCCAGUUGGCGGUCGAUACGGUGCUGUCCAGCGACGCUUUGAGGCCAUUACCGGCUUUUACUAUGCCUGCCUUCGACGAGUCUUCGAACGCGUUUAGCAGAGAAGCAUGCACGCCGAAAAAUCGCUACUGUCCGUCGGCGUCGGCAUACUACGACGUGGAGCGAAUUUAGCCGUUCGAGGAGGCGGGGCUCUCUCUGAGGCCGAAUCUCGUGGCGGCGGAGAGAGGAAGAGGGAGGGGAAUGUGGAUCUGCGUAAGUGCCUCGAUGGAUCAGCGACGGAGGGAUACAAUGUCGUUUGAUUCGGAGGAGUCGAUGAUGACUACGACAACGACGAAGACCUUUGAAAGCAGUGGCGGUAAUCUGAAGGAUCGCAAGCUUCUGAACCUUUUUGUCUAAGUACUAUUAACCUAUGAGAGAGAAAUUUAUGAGAGAGAGAGAGGUGGUUGGAAGUAUGUGAAGGUUUUCUGGAAAAGCCCAAAAAGUGAGGUUUUUGGGUUCUUGGGUUGUGCAGAUUCACGGUGGAUAGAUGAAAAAAAUGAAAGAGAACCGACAUGGUUUUUCGUGUCGUUUCCCACAGACGGCGCCAAAUGUUGAUGCACAAAAUCUAGUAGAUCUUGGACCAACGUAAAUCCAGUCGUGAAUCACACAAACGCAGAAGAACACAAAGAUGUAUCUUGGUUCACCCCAAUGUUUGGGCUACAUCCACACUGAUGUUGAUUCCAUUUCACUAUAUGAAUGUAUGAAUUACAAUAAAUCGACAAGGGAGCUCUCUGUGGAUGCAACCCUUGCCAUUUUGCUCUAUGUUUGGCUGAAAGGGUAUUGCCCUCUAUUGUUGUGAGGGAUGUGAGACUUUCUUCUUUCUUCGCUCUUUGUGAAGGUGAGGAUGAUCCCUUUUAUAGAGUAAGGGUUUCCUCCUCUUACAUAAAUCAUGAGCUCAAUAUCGAGGCCUAAUAUAUGGUACAACAAAAGCAAUGGUUUUUAUUGUUUAAAAUUAAGGAGAGGUCCUAAGUAGGGGUGGUUCGGUAUGGGAUCCCAUACCGAAACCCUUGUCUCGAUUCCCAUACCGAAAUUUUCGGGAAUCCCAAUUUCAAUACCGAUCCCAAACCAAAUUUUCGGGAAUCCCAAUUUUCGGGAAUCCCGAAAUAGUUUCGGGAUUUCGGGACAAAUCGGGAAUCCCGAAAUAAUUUUGGGCUUUUGGGCUUUUGGGCUUUUGGACAAAAAAAAGCUAAUAUUGGUCCAAUUGGACAAAAACCUAAUAUUGGGCCAUGCCCAUUGAAUGUAAUAGCCCCAUAUGGGCUUAACUUGAUUCAAUCAAAUAAAAAAAUUAUUGGGAUAAUUGAUGUUGGCCCGGGUCUGCCAAUUUGUGUUGUUAUGAAAAUGUAGGGUUCACAAAGUUUUGGGUAACAUCAAUAUGUGUUGUUAGGACAAAAGCCUAUGAAAAUGUAAUUUACCCUAUUCAAAAGCAAUCUGCCAAUUGCCAAUCUGUGCACAAUUGCAUAUGCCUAUUCAAGUUCUACUACACAUGCAUGCAAUAAAAAUAAAUUAAGUACCAAAUCCAAAAGCAAAAAUAUUAGUUACAAGCCAAGGUUUUAAAAUAAAUAAAGUAACAAACCCAAAAGCAAAAAAAUUAGUUACAAUCCAAAGUUUUAAUAAUUAAGUUACAAACCAAAAGCAAAAAAACAAAGUUUCAAGUUUAUGAAGAUUGUUGACUUCUUCGGCCCCUUCGGCCCUUCUUGUUGGCACUUGUAAUUUUCCCCUUGAUAUUGAUGGUUGAGCCCUUCCCCUUACAAUGGGUGGUCGUGGUCAUGGAGGUAGUGAUUGAUUUUGACGUUGUUGAACUUGUACUUGAGGUGGUCGAGGAGAUGGAGGUGGCAUUUCAUUUUCUUGUGUUGUAUUCUCCUCACCUCCCAAAUUAGCCAUGUCUAAAACAAUAAACCACAAAUCAUUUACAUUAAAUUAUAGUCUAAUAGAUAAUAAAUACUAAAAAAAUAAAAGAUGAAAUUAAAUUGUUUACUUACUUCUUUCUAAGCGUUCAAGCUCCUCGUAGAAACAUAAUUCGUCAAGGGUAGGCUCCUUGUAGAAACAAAAUUCUUUUCCUCUAAGCCAAUCACUAGUACACACUAAAGCCUCAACCGUUUUAGGUGUUAAGGAAGCUCUAAAAGGAUCAACAACUUUCCCACCAAGACUAAAGGCAUUCUCACUAGCAACGGUGCUACUAGGAAGGGCCAAUACAUCCUUAGCAACUUUACUAAGAAUUGGAUAUUGACCACAAUUUCCUUUCCACCAAUCCAAAAGAUUGAAACCCUUAUAUGUUAGGCUUUGAUGUGGAUCAUUGAAGUACAUAUCCACUUCAUUGGCUAUCUCAUUUUGUUGUGCCUCCGCUCUCUUUCUUUGGAUCUUCUUUGCCAUCCUUGAAGCAACAUCAAUAUCUACCAUCACACCCCCCCGCCCCAUCAUCUAGUACAACACUUGAUCUUUGCUCCACAUUUGAGGUAGCACUACUACUAGUACUACUACCACUACUACUACUAAGGACCACUCCCUCCUUAUAUGCAUUAUACAACUCGGUUACAUAACCUUUAACCCUUACUUUCUCCUCCCUUAUUUUGUCACAUCCAUAGCCGAGCUCUUCUAGAUUUGUCUCUAACAUAUCAAAUUUGUACCUCGGGUCGAGUGAUUGGGCCACAAAGAGAAUAUGAUUCACCUUUUCAAUGUCACCCCAAUAUUUGUCAAACUUGAGCUUCAUUGAGGUAGCCACACUUUGCAAAGUGGAAUUAGAGGCAUUUGAAAUUUGUUCUUCUAUCUCCACUUGCAAGGCAAUCACCGUGCUAAGUAUUAAGUGUGACGUUGGAGUAAGGGUUGUACUCAAUGUCAAGGUGGCAUCAUAAAUUUUUUUGAGAAAGUGAGCAAAACUCACCGACCUUUCCCAAUCAUCCACCUCCGGAUGACCCACCCGCUUAGCCUUUCUUGUCACCCCAUCAACCUCUUUUGAGACCUCCUCUUUAAAGUAAGCAAUAAAAGAGUCACACUCAAAGGCCAUCUUAGAGAACACUUCUUUAAACUUGAAAGCACUAUUAAGCAUUUGAUAUGUGGCAUUCCACCUUGUGACAACAUCAAAAGGGAUACUUGACAUCCUAUCAAAUCUCAACAAGACACAAUAUUCCCUAAAAGACUCCAACCUUGCCGGGGAUGAGUGUAUAAACUUCACACAAUUUCUUAUGGCAUCAAUCUCCCUACUAAGCUCCGUCAUUCCAUCCUUAACUAUCAAAUUAAGGAUGUGACAAGCGCACCUCAUGUGCAAGUGAGCCCCAUCAAGUAAAAGAGUACCAUUUGACUUGAGUCUUCUUUUCAUGUAUGCAAUAGCGGUGUCAUUUGCACUAGCAUUGUCAACGGUAAUGCUAAACACCUUGUCUAUGCCCCAAUCAUUCAAGCAAACCUCUAGACAUCUUCCAAUAUCAUCACCCUUAUGAGAAGUAACUUGGACAAAGUUUAGGAUCCUCUUAUGUAACCCCCAAUUAGUGUCCAAAAAAUGAGUCGUGAUGACCAUGUAGUUUAUCAUUUGAAUUGAGGUCCAAGUGUCGGUUGUAAUACUCACUCUCAACCCCUCAAUCACACUUUUUAUUUUUGCCUUCUCUUCAUCAUACAACUCCAAAACCGCCGCCGCCACCUUAUGCCUAUUAGGAAGUUUGUACUUUGGAUUCAAGUCACGAAUAAAAUCUCGAAAGUCCUCUUGAUUAACCACCCUAAAAGGCAUCUCUGCUAUUAUAAUCCACCUCACACAUCUCCUAUCAAGUCUUUUUUUAUUGAAAGUGUGAGUGACAACCGGACCUCCCAUCCUCGCUUGUGUCAAUGUAGGUUGGUUCGGAUCUACAUUCUCAAAGAGACUAGAACCCGGACAUUUCCUCAAAUGCUUAAGAAUUCCCGUUGUCCCAUGAGUUAUAGGGUGUGCCGGUACUAAGAGUUUGCAAUGUUUGCAUUCGGCCAUGUAAGAUUUCUCCCCAUUAUUAUCGGUGAUCGUUACCCUCUUAGCAUCAUUCCACACCGGACUUUGACCCUUUCUCCUAUUGCCCUUUUUCCGAGGAGGACCAUCCCAUUGUCUCACUACUUCUACUUCUUCUACUUCUUCUUCCCCAUCUUCUUCUAUCUGUUCUAAUGCAAUAUCCUCCUCCACAUCCGGAUCAUCAUCCCAACAAUCUUCAUAAUAAUCAUUAUGCAAAUAAUCUUGAGGUGAGGGAGUGCCUAGUUGAAGGGUACCACUAGGUUGGGUUUGUUUUCGCUUUCCUAAUACCGAGACCAUAUGUGUACUGGCUACUAGAUCCGUCCAUCCUACAAAUAAAAUAACAAUGCACAUUAAUAUAUCACAACCACAGUUCAGCAUAUAUCCAAAUUCCAAACAAUAAAUAAAAUCAAUGGUUCAAAAAUCUGAGCAUUCAACAUAGAAGUAUCGUGUAUUUGAAUUUAAACUAGGAAGCAAAUAAAAACCAGCUCGUUUCUAAACUAGGAGAAUAUAAGUAGCCCCACCCCCACAAAGAUAAUACAAACAUGAAAGUUGGAACCUACAAACAAGAGUUUUCAACACUUGUAGCGCUUGUAUGCUAAACCUUUAAAAGUUGCUCGAGAAUAAAUGAUUCAAGAAAAACAACCUGAAGAAUAAUAAUUCAAGAAAAUAAUUAGUAGAGAAUCAUAGUAGACUAACAUGCUUAACAUAUAUUGUGUUUUCAAACCAAUAUGGACAAUGCUUAACAUGCUUCAUGGAAUACUCAUCAUGCAAGUCUGUUGUGGUCUGUUGUGGUCUUACAGACAGUUUUCUAGGACUCGGACAAUUGAUGAACUGCAUAUGCUUAAAGGUUUCAUGGACUCGGACAAUUGAUGCAAUAUCACAGUAGUCGGCAAGGCCAAAGAGGCCAUUACGACGAGAGACCAAAACACAAAACAUCACCGUCCACUCAAAUUGGAAUAACGAUUGAUGCUGGCAUAGGUAGUGUGAGAUACUCGAGAGAACAAAUUCCAAACAAUUAAGCAAUGUUGAUGUUGCAAAAAUAGUAUCAAUCUUACUGCCAUAGUUCAAAACCCGGUUCGGCCUUGGGAGGGAUCAGAUAAGCAUUCCACGCAGAAGAAAUGGAUUGACAUUUAGUAGUAAACAAUACCGGCACCAACAAUCUCAGACAUGCUUGCAUUUACAAAUACAAUUAAAAUAUCACAACAAACAAAUGAGAGCACAAUGAUGAAGGACAAUGCACAACAAUGGCACUUGGUACCAUGAUAAUCUCAGGGGUUUAACAAAAUGUGGGAUAGUUCCAGGAGAAAAUUUGCAUAAUCCGUAUCCAUACUCGGCAAACAGGCAAAAACAAAAAGGAGAAAUUGAUUGGAUGAAAAACUAAGCGCAAUUUUGACACAAACAUCAAGUUUAAAUUCAAAACUAGAGAAACAAUCACAGGGGUCAUCAGAUAGGAGUGAAAGACAUGAAAUUUGCUUAAUCACAAAGAUUCAGUUGAACUAUUGCCUCAUGUCGCAAGAUAUUGAAUAACAAGUGCUAUAAGCCUAUAAAGGUCAGGGCCGUAACCCUCGAAUCAAUGCUCACUAGAAAACGACAACAGACUUGCCUAAAUUCUGUGAAGAGACAAAAUCGCAAAAGAAAAGAGAAAGAGCGAGAGGUGUGUGUGUGACAGUGAGAUAGAGAGAUUUCAGAAAACUAAAUUAAUUACCUAAUUUCAGAAAACCAAGUGAGACCGUGAGAGAGAUCCCCAGUUCUGUCCGUGAAAGAGAACCCUCGAAUCAAUGCAGUUCUGUGACCGUGUGAGAGAGAGAGAUCGCGAGAGAGAGUGGUGGUUGUGUGGUGAAGGAAGGUUGGAGAGUCAGAGACGAGAGUAUGGUGUGGUGGUGGGCCGGUGGCUGGUCGGAAUUCGACAGUCUGGUGAGGGACGACGUUGGUGAGGGCCGGAGGCUAAGGGUCAGGGCUGCAAUUCGAAACAAAUGAACGGAGGAACUGAAAUGUGAUCUGACCUAAAAACAAAUCAACGGCACAGAUUAAAUCUAAAACAAUCAACGGUUGAAAUAAUUCUCUUAUAAUUAAAAAAUUAUAUAUAUAUAUAUAUUUUUUCUUUUUCGGUUCGGUAUGGGAAUACCGAAAAAAUGAAAUGCAAUACCGAAUCCCAUACCGAAACUUUCGGUUUGGUUUGGGAUUACAUCCCGAAAAUUUCGGGAAUUUUGGUUUGGGAUCGGGAUUUUUGGUUUGGUUUGGGAUUUUUGGGAUUUUUUUCCAGCCCUAGUCCUAAGUUCAAAAUGCUAUGUGCGUGUUUAUUCUUUUCAAUUUUUAUUUGGUUGUAACAAAUUAGUCUUUCUGUGUUUUUAAAUUAUUGAUUUUGAAGUGAUUUUCUAAGUACAAUUUUAUCGAUGUCUUACGUGUGAAAAUAAAUAAUUUUCUUAUUUAUGGCACAUUUUUUAGCGUCGUCCCCAGUCUCAAAAAUCUCUGCAUCUCGUGAAAAUAAAUAAUGUCUUACGUGAAGAAAGUAUGAAGACCACAAAUGUUUUGAAUACUGCAUCUCGUAUAAAACAAGGAAGCAGUAGCCAAAUGACGAUGUCAUCGCCAAUCCCCACUAUAGCAACAGGGAGCAUCAGUCCCCACUGCAUCACGUUCGAUUCCAAACGUCAACGGCGGAAUGUUCUUCUCUAAAUCACCAAUUGUGCAGAAGAAAUGACGUCUAGAUCCUUCCCACCAAAUACCAAGAUGAGCCGAAGUGGGCUCUCACUGGAACAGAUGAAGAAAAGACAAUGAAAUUGUUUGCUGUAGGUUGCUACCUUCAAAGCUAUCUAAUUCAGGGAUUAAAAAUGCUAAGAGGCGAUCUGUAACAAAGAAUAGGGAUGGAGGUCCUCAUGUUCACAUGGUCCUAGCUCUGGCAAACGGGUCAUGUUUGUCAUGUUCGUGUUGUUUUCGUGUAACACUUGUUAUCUUAAAGGAUCGUGUUGUGUCACACCCGUUAUCUUAACGGGUCCUUAAUAGGUUGGGUCACCAUUAUGACCAGUUAAGAAAAAUAUAUUUUUUUUUCUUAAAUUUACACAUACCACACAUUGCCACAUAAAAUAUUACUUCAAAACAUUAAAACACAUUUGUCGUUUAAGUGCUACAUCUACACUCGAAAAUAAGAGCCUAAUAAAAAAACAUUCAUACACUAGUCUAUUACAAAAUAUUAAAUGUGCAAGGAUAUGCAAAAUGAAAGAAUUUUUGUUUUCGAGGUUGUGAAGCCUUUCUCAAAAGUUUAAACCUUGCCAAUGGAACUCAAAGCUUACAUGUUAUUCCUUUUACAAAAUCCUUAAUUUUCAUCAAUCAUCAUGAGGAAAUUGUAUUGGAACUUUGGGUUGAUCUAUUGCUUUCAAGAGUUAUGUUGAUGAUGUUUUCAGUAAGGUUUUCUACGUCAAAAUUCUUUUUCGCAUAAACUAAGUAUAGAAAAACCGAACAUUAAAAACCAUUCAAAUUAUGAAAAGUUUACUAAAAUAAUUAUGAAAAGAAAUAAAAAAUAGUACUAUACCAUAUAAAAAUAUAUUAGCCUCCAACCUAAUGAACAAUGGAUGGCUGAGAUUAAAUCUCAGCCGAUCCAAUGGUCACCAAUUUUAUAAAAUUUAAAUUAAUAUAUAUAACUAUUAGAGUUUGUAAGGGUAUAAAAUUGUUAAAUUAAUAUAUAUAAUUAUUAUAUUAUUUUUUUAGGGUUAUAAAAUUAUAAAAUUAAUAUUUUGCUUAUCGUGUAUCGUGUUACCCACGUGUAUACUCGAACCAACCCGUUAUUUUAACAGGUGCUUAUCGGGUUACCUAAUAAUGACCCAAUUCGUUAUCGUAUUGACCCGAACACCUGUUAAUUUCGUGUUGGGUUAUCUGGUCGUGUCAGGAAUUGUCAGGCCGUGGUCCCCAACAACCCAGGUCCUAUCUGCAGAGUGCUUAGGUCAUCUCAAAUGAAGAGGGCUAAAUGUUCAAAAGGUAAAAAAUGUCUUGAUUUAUUCAAAAUAUCAUCUUCAACCGAUGACUGGACUAAACUCUAUGAAGUCCACCAUACCAUUAUUUGGUCAAAGGAGCAUCAGGCUGGCCAAACGUAGCCCCCUUUUAGCCCUUUUUUUGGAGCCUAGCUUCUCAGUUACAAUAAUUGAUUCAAAUUCAACGACUAUAUCUGAAAACAUCUAACAUUAGUUUAAUUAAAUUAACUAAUAAAGCUAAAGUAUAAACUUAAAACUAAUAAAUAAUUGAGAAGCUAUGUUUAGUGUCUUGAGUUUGAGAUGAUAUAUGAAUAUGACCUGACAUUAUUUAUUUAAAUUUUUUUUUUACAGACUACAAUUUUGGACAAAAUUAGGUUUGAUUUUUUCGGUUAGAAAUGACCUUAGGCACUCAAAAGUCUAAUGUAUACCGCAAGCGUGAUCUCUCAAAAAGAAAAAGGGAGAAUCCAAAUAGCCUUAGAGCUUAAGGAGGGGUUUAUUUGAAAUCAAAAUUUUUUAUCCCUCUUUGAUGCCGUGGCAAGUAUGCAAGGAAACAAAAUUCCUUGCGGCAAAAUAAAAGCAUACCAAUUAGGAUUCAAUAUGAUCAAAGAAUGCCUUUGCCGCAUCUCCAAAUAAAUAGCUAAAAGAUGUUUAUUUUGUCUGCCAUGUGAAGUCAAAGUCCAAGUUCACAGAGAAGAGAAAAAAAAAAAAACUAAAGAAAAAUGUUUGAAAACUUUGAGUUUUAACAAUAAAAAUAAAAUAAAGAGUAAAUUGACCAGUACCAAGAUUAACUUUUUAGUGUCAAAAUAUGAGUUUUCAUUAAAGUAAACAAUACCAGAAGUUUUUCAUUAAAAUUCUCAAAAAAAAAAGGGUGUGAUUUCCAUACACUCCAUUUUACUUCUCACACACAUUUUGAAUUUUCGGUUGUUGGAUUUGAAGAAUAAAAAAUGAUUAACUAAAAAAAUUAUUAAGAAAUGUGUGAGAAGUAUAAUAAAAUGUGUGUAUAGCAUAGUAAAAAAAAAACUUGCCGACAACCUCCCAAAUUAAUUGGGAAAGAUACUCACGUGGCAACCUUUAAUAAAAAAAGGGCCACAGCUCUCAAAUUUGAAUUCAUGUGGUUUCUUUUAUAACUUUGGGCCUACCCUUUCCUAGAGGCUGUAAAUUUUGCAAGAAGAAGAAAGAAGUCUGCAAUAAAGUUCCCAAUUUUAUGGGGAAUGCUGCUCCCAUGGGAUAUUGCCCCACUCUAUGACACAAAGAUGCAUCAAAUUUCAAACGGCACAAAGCCUUUUCAAAUUUUAAAUGGGACAAAACGGAUUUAAAUUUCAAAUGGCACAAAAGCCGUAUCAAAUCUUAAAUAGAACAAAGUUGUUCCAAAUGACACAAAGUUCUUUACCUACACGAUUUAAAACUGCAAGGCACCAAAUCCAAACCAAAAUACUUUUUUUUUUAGUGGGUCAUUUACUCAUUAGAAAUAAUGAACUACGUUGGUUUGAUUCUACCAAGGAUACAUAGGCAAUCUAGAUAUUCAAUCCAAAUGCAAUUGUACAAAGACAAAAACUCAAAAUCGAAUCCAUGGUUCAUCUCAACCAAAUUCACCGUAAAAUCCAAAUCGAGUCCCUGGUUCAUCUCAACCAAAUUAACCACAAAGUCCAAAUCGAAUCUCUGGUUUAUUCAACCAAAUUCACUCAAAUAAAUUUUAAGUAUUCAAAUAAACAAACACAAAACCUUUUUUAGUGGGUCAUUCACUCUCUGAAAAUCCCAAACCAAAUCAUCCAAGAACAACGAGUGGCUUGAUCCCUCCAAAAAAUCACGUAGGUAAUCUAGGGCUUGACCUAAGUGCAACCGCAAAACCAAACAAACACCCAAAUCCCAAAGUUACGAUUUAUUCAUAUUGGAAUCAAAGGGUUUUUUUUUUUUUUUUUUUUUGAUGAAGGAUUGUAAUUAAUAGAUGCAUAGUCUAGAAUGGGCUAAAAUUAAUAAAACUCUCUUCGGAAAAAUGAACGAAGGUAAGAUUAUGUUUAGUGAAUUAUUUGUUACAUCUCUUGUCCAAUUUUUCUCAACAGAUGCAUUACCAAAUCUAAAGAAUUGAUUGGUUAUUAUUGACUAGUGCGAUUAAUCGGUCUCAAACUAUGUUUUCCAACAAAUACAGCUUGAUUAAUCUCGUUCAAUGUUAAUGGUUGCAACAAAAAGAAAGGGUCAUAUUUUCUCUUUUGGUUACAAGAACGGGCCAUAUUUUCUUCCUUUUAAAAGUUGUUCUGAUGAUAUAUUUAAGAAAAACAAACAAUAGGCUUUUCACAUAGAAGUCAUUGACAAAGUAGAUAAUAAAUAACAUUAUACAUUUGAAGAAAAUACACAAACUCAAUACUUCAGAAAAUGAACAACAUCUAUUAUACGUUAGAUAAAAAAAUACAAAUUUAAUACUUUGUAAUGGAAGAACGGCACAAUAGAAAUUUCACAACUAAAAAUUAUUAGAGCAUGUCAAUACUUUAAAAAAAAAAAACAGGGACUUGACUUUGUAAUGGGAAGGGCACAAAGAAAUAUCACAGCAAAAAAUCAAUUAAAGCGUGACAAAUAGGGAAAUGAGGGGUUCUUUUCUCUAAUCAAGCUCUUGAAGUAUUUUUGUAUAGAACUUAUAGUUUUGGAACAAAUAAUUGUACAUUAGAAAGGAUAGCUGAUAUUUUCAAUAAAAAUAAAGCUGAUUUUUAUUAAUCAAUGUUGAAGUUUUUGUGUAUAUUCUAUGAAGACAUAAGGGAAUAAUACUACAGUCUCCUCACAUAAAAUUCUCAGCUCUGUCAUUUUUCGUCAAUCUAUGAUUCACGCAAACGAGAAUUUGUCAAUGGAUGUAUGAUACACGUAAAUGAGAUCAAUUCAUAUGUGCAUUAAACAUACAGAGCUCAUGUGAGUAGAAAAGCAUAUAAUUUCCUUGCGUUUCCAUAACAUAUGCACACAAAAUUUCAUAUGUAUAAUUUCUCAUCUUCUAGUAUACCAAAAAGAAAGAGGAAAGUAACAUCUUCACAAUAAAUUUUCUUAACCAACUUACACUAGGCCUAUGAAUUCACUCGUAAUAAAAUUUGCACUAAAGAAAAAAUCAUCAUGCACUGUUCUAUAAUAAAUUAAACAAGGUUAAAAGGAGGACAAACUGGCUUUCUUUUAGAGCUAAUACCACUCUUUAGAAACUAUAUAUUUGAUCGCAUGAACAAUAAAGUCAUUGUACAAUUUAAAUUUAAAACUCAACAUUGAAAUUUUUAUGCAUAUUCUAUGAAAAAAUAAGGAAGUUAUACUAUUGUCUCCUCACAAGAAAAUGUCAACUUUGUCAUAUUUUGUGAGCUUGUAAUACACGCUAAAAUGGGAUGAAUUCGUCAAUGAACUAUUGAUACAUGUAAAUGAGAGAAAUUCGUAAGUCUAUUGAAAAUGAUGAAGCUCAUGUGAAUAGGUCAAACAUAUUUGUAAUCAUAUUAGCUAGAAUACAUAAGUUUCCCCUAACAACCAUUUUUGUGCAUAUUCUACGAAAAUAUAACAAAAUUAUAUGAUAUUUUCCUCACAGGAAAUUCUUAGCUUUGUCAUUUUUCGUUAACCCAUAAUUCAUGCAAACAGGGUCAAUUUAUCAAUGGACGUAUGAUACACAAAAGAGAUCAAUUCAUAAGUGCAUUGAACAUGACAACCCAUGUGAGUGGAGAAGUAUAUAAUUUCCUUAUGUUUUCAUAGCAAGUGCACAAAAAGUAUUAAUGUUGUUAAAUAAAUCUUAUAUGUAUUUAAGUAUAGUUUCUUAUCUUCUAGUAUACCAAAAGGAAACCAUAUAGUAGCAUUUUCACAAUAAAUUCUCUAACUUACACUAGACCUAUGAAUUCACUCGUAACAAAAUUUGAGCUAAAAGAAUCAUCUUGCACUACACACAAAUGAAAUAAAUAAGGUCAAAAGGAGGGCAAAGUGACUUUCUUUUAGCGCUAAUAAUAGUGUGAAUACAAAAUUUUCCUGAAACGAAAGAGACAAGAACAACGUGCACAAACAAAUAUUUGUAUUUGAUGAUUUUAGGGUUACAAUCUCUCUCAAAUUUGAUUUUCUGAUUCGAUCUCCGUAAGGUGUUGAUUUGUGGAUGUUUCGUUGAUCCAAGGGCCGUUGAGGCUUGAUCUUGGAUGAACUGUUGGAAGUUUCUUCAAGGGGCCGUGGGCUUGAUCUUUGAAGGUGGAUUUGAGCGGAUCUUCAAGGAGCCGUUGGGGCUUGAUCUUGAGGAUGAAUGUUUCUUCAAGGGCCGUUAAAGCUUGAUCUUGAAUAACGGUGAUGAACGGAUCUUCAAGGGCUUUUGGGCUUGAUCUUGAAAAACAAUGAUGAACGGAUCUUCAAGGGCUUUUGGGCUUGAUCUUGAAGAACGGUUGGAUGUAUGGAUUUGUCGACGUUUGUUGAUCCAAAGGGCCGUUGGGGCUUGAUCUUAGGAUGAACGGAUGAUGAACGAUGGUGCUUUCUUCAAGGGCAGUCGGGGCUUGAUCUUGAAUUGGUGGAAGUUCUUCAAGGGCUUUUGGGGCUUGAUCUUGAAUUGGUGGAUUGUUGAUCCAAGGGCCGUCGGGGCUUGAUCUUGGAAGAACGAUGAACGAAGAACGAAGAGAGCUUUCUUGAUUCUUCGGGAACCUGGAUGCUUGAGAGCUUCGGAGUUUCAGAGCUUCAGAGCUUCAAGAAUUUUGCCUAAUGAUUUUGGUUCCUCUAAAUGAAUGAAUUAGCCUUCUAUUUAUAGAAAUUUCCAAGGCUUAAUUUUGAAUAUAAUAUUCCAGAUGAAAUAAGUCGUUUCUGCCAAGUGUUGACACGUGUCAUGUUUGAUGACUUUUCCAACUUAUUUUGGUUUUUUGUUUAGACACACGCUACGUGUAAAAUUUAUGUAAUACAUGAGCGUUGAAACUUUGAUUUAUCGGUCAACAUUUAUUUACCGAAAUUUCGAUGUCUACAAAUAGUUCUUCUAAAAAUUAUAUAUUUGAUUGCAUGAACAAUAAAGUCAUUAUACGAUAUAAAUUUAAUAUUGUACAAUUUAAAUUUAAAACUAGUAAGAAAAUUAUACUUACAUGAUCUACAAGAUUUAUUAAUCAAUAUUGAAUAUUAUUGUGCAUAUUCCAUGAAAACAUAAUGAAAUAAAACUAUGGUCUCCUGUAUAAAAUUCUCAACUCUGUCAACUUUUAUGAGCUUGUGAUACACGCUAAAUGGGUGAAUUCUUCAAUAAACUUUUUUUUUGUGGGCAAACUGAACUUUUGAUACACGUAAAUGAGAUGUAUUCUUAAAUUUACUAAAAAUGACGAAGUUCAUGUGAGUACACAUGAGCAUGUUAGAAUACAGUUUCCUUGAUAAAUAAGCUUUUAUAUGUGUACAAGUAUAAUAUUUUCUCCCUUAAACAGAGGGCAAUUUUGUCAUUUUAUGAAAAUUUAAUCAUAAGGGCUUUAUAGAGAGAUUGCCGGCAAUGAGAUUCAAAUUUAAGUCUUAGUCUAGCGAAGAAAACGAUCAUUAUCACUCUCAAAAUUAGAACACCGUGCCAUAAUAAGUAAUUGAAAUUUAUUGAAUUAGCUAAGCUAGUUGCAUGUUAGUUAUCUCUUUACCAUUUCUUCGAAGUCGGGAAACGGAACCAUGAAGGGAAAGAAGGCCAAAUGUCAGUUAACUUUGUUGAGGUCGCCCACUACGCUUUUGUUUACUUGGCUCCGACGCGUGCGGGCUCGGAUUGCAGGACGUUUUCAAGAAACGAUACAGUAGAAUAGCGAUUUCGCAACCAUUUCAUAUACAAUUCACGGUGAGUGCGAUGCAUCAUCAGCUUUGUCAAUGCAUGACUUUUAUGGAUGUUUUUUUGUUCUGAAGUCCUACCAAAUGACAUGAUAACUGACACACUCCGACUGGAAUUAAGGCGUGAUGGCCGUCACGUGAAGGUGACGUAAUCAAAGUGCAAGUGAUGAAAGAAAAUUGUGAAUAAAUUAAAACCAAAACUAGGAAUUAAUUAAGGAAAACUAAUGAAAAUGGCUUGAAAACUUUGAGUGUUAACGAUAAGGACGAAAUAAAUGGUAAACUGAAUAGUACAAUGAUUGACUUUUCAGUGUAAAAAUGUGGUUUUUUUGUUAAAGUGAACAGUAUUGGGAACUUUUCGUUAAAGUUCCCAAUUAAUUAACUAAGAACGUGAGUGCGCAAUAGUGGUUACAACUCAUAACUACAAAUAUUCAGAGCAUAGAUAACAUGAGGGUAAAACAGUAGAACGAGAGAAAUACUUAUUACACAACUAGAGAUAAGUUCCUACGUUAAGAUGGAGAUAUGUCAUAAUCCACCAACUAUUCCUCGUACGCCACAUAGAUUAAUCAACUAACUAGGACAUGGAGGAGCGAAAAACAGAAGGGUGAGUGGGCACAAAAAUAAAGGUUUAUAAAAUCCAUUUACUUUUCAAUCAUACUAACUCCUCACUGUAAAACAAGUAUAAUUUUCAAAAUAUCAUACUAUGUAUAAGUAUGAAAAUCAAAUGCAUGCCAAAUGUAAGUCUAGAAGUAUGCCACAACAUAUGUUCUCAACAACAGUAUAGAUAUGAUUAUGUGCUGUAAAUUGUAAUUUACACUAAUCGGAGUCACCUAAUGUGACAUGUACAACUCCACCUAUCACUCAUCAGUCAUAUGCUAACACAGAAGUCGGAGUCACCUAAUGUGACCUAUACGACAUGACUAGGUGUAAUAAUAAUCGCUCUAGUGCUACGGUCACGUGAAGACUAGCACUAUGCUUGGGUCACCUACGAGUCGGAGUCACCUAAUGUGACUUGUACAACAGGACUAGCACCUACUUAGAUCCAUGGCAAGCGUGCGGUGCAGGAGAUAAACAUACACAUGAAGGACUAGCCCUGUCCUUGGGCUGGAGUACUAACACCGGGGUGUAGCAAUGAUGAGCAGACUAUAUGUAAGCAUGCCAUAAUGAUUCAACCAUUCAAUUCAUCACAUAACCUUACCUGGACUUACUUGCAUGUACCGCAUUCACAUUAGCAUUUCAAACCAUGCACAUCAAUUUCAUGCAGGUAAUAUGCAUAUGGAUAUGCCAUGAUCAUGGAAGAAAAUAUCGAUAAUAUCGGCGAUAUAUCGCCGAUAUUAUCGGUUUUUUCCCGAAUCGAUAUUUUAAAUGGUAUCCAAGGUGUUUUCGUCAUAAUAUCGCGAUAAUAUCGAUAAUAUCGCGAUAUUAUCGAUAUUAUCGCGAAAUUUCGGAACUGUGCACGUCGGAGACGAACGUCGGAGCUUCUACAGCUCCGGCCGACUGUAAAACUGCUCCCUAGCCUCGCCGGAGAUGGGUGUACUUAUUCCCGAGUCGAUUUCAUCCCAAAAACCUUGCAAAAACACGACAUAUAACUUCAAUUUCACAUCUAAGCUUCGAUCUAGAAUAUAAAAAGAAAAACCCGAAGCUUACCUACCUGAGAAAUUGAAGGAACUCGCCGGAGCAGGUGCGAUGGUGUGCGUGUGGGUCUCGGUGCAGAGAAAAGAGAGAUCUCUGUGUGAGUGUGUGUGGUUGGACUGGGAGAAGGGAGAAGAAAGAUCGAGAGAUCUCUGUGUGAGUGUGUGUGUGGUUGGACUGGGAGAAGGGAGAAGAGAGAUCGAGAAGGAUCUCUGUGUGAGUGUGUGUGUGGUUGGACUGGGCGAAGGGAGAAGAGAGAUCGAGAAGGAUCUCUGUGUGUCGUUGAAGAAUCCCCAACCUUUAAGAGACAAACCAGCAAGCACCUCCCUCGACCCACCUCGUUCCUCCGCCGCAAACCUACCACGUGUCCUCAUCCAACUUCUCUCCUCUGUCAACCCACCGCUGUUCCACUGUCAACUUCACCGGUAUUCCUCCGUCGGCCCCGCUUCCGCCUCGUCCUUCAAUCUCUCUCCUCCAUCGAAGUAGGUCCAUAAGAAUUCAUGAAAGGGAGGGGAUCUUUGUUCUUAGUGUAUAGUGUGACGACGCUGCACUGAUACAAAUCUGUGAUGGCAUAGGAAAAGACAAGGACGAUGCGGGAUGGAGCAGAGAGGAAGUGAAAAUGGAUUAUGGGGUGUUUGGAUGCCUAGGUAAUUGGAUAAACAGGGUGUUUGGCUGCAUAGCUUAAACAUAUAAAGUAGUACACGUGUUCUCUUUUAGUUGAGCCAUAUCAAUGGUCAAUGAAAAUUGGGUACCCACUUGUGAGUACCAAGUAUUAUCCGUGGACGGGAGACUUAAACAAACAAAACCAUUGGCUUUGAUGUUUGUAACUUGUAAUUAUGAGGUGGACAUGUGACGUGAAAGAUGUGAGGUGCACCUCUGAUGGUUUUAACUUUUAAUAAAUGUUAUAUAAAUUAUAAAUUAUAAAUUAUUUAGAUAAUAUUUUGUUUUUUUUACUAAGCAAGCAAAUUAUAUUCGAACCCUCCCUUUGUCAACCACGCACUUAGGCUUUAUCCAACUUGCUAUAGAUGUGUUUGUGAUUACAUAUUCAGCCUGUAAUAUUUAUAUGGUCGUUAAGAUGUCUGCAAGGCUUGCAAGCUAAUAUUUAUUAUCUAGGAUAAAUUUCUAUAUUUUAAAAAACACAAAGGUGAAAAUUUUGAACCUCAUAGGAACUCUAUGUGGUACUAAGUCACUCAUGUAUGUUACCAUGCAAUGUAUAAAGUGUAAAAUAUUGUACUAAUUCAUUAUAUAUAAAUGAUUAUGGUGUGUUUAGACUUCUUUCAUUAAUUACUACAUAUUUUAUACACUCACAAUGUUUGUCAGCUCACUAUAUAAUCAACUUGAUAAUGUUAAAUCCAUCAUGCAAUGCAUUUCCUUCCAAUUUUUUGUGAUAAACUAAUAGAUAAUUGACUAAAUAAACAUCCUGCAAAGUUUCAAUAAAAAUUUCCAAGUUUUUCUUACAAUUUCCGUGGUUUCCAUGUAAUUUUUAUCGAUAUCGAUAUUAUCCCGAUAUUUCCAUCGAUAUUUCCGUGUUUUCGGACUACCGAUAUUUCCGAUAUUACCGAUAUUUUCUUCCUUGGCCAUGAUGCAAUAAAAAACUCAACCAUGUCAUAGCAUUUAGAAAAAUAUAUAAUUCAUGGCAUAAAUGCAUAAAACCAUUUUAAAACAUUUAUGGAAACUAUGAGGUAUAUACAUAAUAUACAAAAAUAAAAUGCCCACUCACUGGUAUGUCAUAGGAUUGUAGACCCCUAGUCUCGCUUGUCCACAUACGUCCUCAGGGUAAGUUUCCCCUAUAUGCGAAACAACAAUUUAUAAUUAAUUAAUAAGGACAUACGCUAAAAACUAGGAAUAACUUCCCAUAAUUUGCUUAAACGGAGGGUUCGAAUAUAUGAAAUCAAUUUACUUGACGUCACAGACCUACACGUAAAAACCACUCGCUGGCCGAAGGCCAGACGCACCCUCAUGACCGCCCAACCCACAACCACACGUGCAGCCACGCAUAGGCAUGUGCAUGGUAGGUGACUAAUGGAACAUAGGAAUAUUUUGUCAGAAUUGACGGAAUAUUCUGUUAAAUAGUAAUGAACGUUAACAGCGUUACCUGACGUCAUUAGACGGAAUAUUCUCCUUCUUCUCCAGUCGCUCUUGCCGUUCACAACUUGAAUUUUCGCCGGAAACUGGAAAAUUUUCAAAUCUUUAUAUCUUGCUCAAUUCUCAACCAUUUUUCACGAAAUUUAUAUGGAUUUGAAGCUCAUGAUGAAGGGAACAAAAUCAUACCAUUUGAAAGUCGAAAAACGAUCAGAGAUUGGCCUGAAAAUAGCUCAAUAGCUCCGGCCAAAAAGUCAACCUCUUGAACUCGCUUGUUUCGACUUCAAUGCUUCACGAAAACUAGUCUAGGGACCUUAGGGAGUUGCGUGGAUGCUUCCAAAACCUUCAAAACUUGGUAACUCGACCGCGAUCAUGUUGACACAAAAACCAUCGAGUCGAAGCUUUCGAGUUGCUCUUUGUUGAUGCACAAAACCGAAGGUCUUGGAAUAACGUAAAUCCGACCGUGAAUCUGCAAGAAAGUAAAGAACACAAGAUGUAUCGUGGUUCACCCCAAUGUUUGAGCUACGUCCACACUAAUGUUGAUAUUGUUUCACUCUGAAUGGUGAAUACACAAGAAGACUAGAGGCAGUGUGCUCUCUAGCCUAUUUUUUGUGUGCUCUCUUCCCAUGGCCUAAAACUUGGCCUCCCUUAAUGAGGAGAGUGAGGAGUCCUUUUAUAGAAUAAGGGCUCCUCACUUAUUACAUAUUCGCCCCUUCAUUUAUUACAUAAUUACAUUUGAGUCCCCCGAGUAUUUAUACGAGGUCUAAAUACGGAAGCCCUAAGUAUGGUACAAACACUCUUCGUUGACCACUCAAAACUCAACCAACACGUGAUCUGAGGGUAUGGUUAAGUUCGUGGUGACGAGAAGAGUCCAAAUAUGUGGUUUUCAGGUUCGAUCUAUUAAGAGAUGGUGGUGGUCUUCUUUGUUGCAGAGAAGAGCGAGGUACGGGUUUGAGAGAGAAAAGGAGAUGAGAGAGAGAAAUGAUGGUUUUUGAUUAAGCAGAGAGAAGGAGAGUCUGAUUGGGUGCCAGAAAGAGGGAAGAAGAUUGAUUGGUGAAAAACAUAAGGCACAUACCAAAUUUUAAAGAAGUAGAAGGAUAGGUUUUUACAGAUUUCCCACAGUAAAAGCAAAUCAGAAAAUCUAUUCGGAAUAGUGUUUCUAACACAGAUAAAAUUAACGUACACUCGUAACAACGAGUACAAUUUAUUACGAUAGCGAGAAUACUAAUUUAAGAGCUAAUAAAUACGUCCACGUCACUUGCUAACAAGGGCAUAAACAAUAAUUUACAUAUUCGGGGAGAAAUUACAUAGAAAAUUAGGGACGGGUCGUCACAAUAACUCUAACAACUACUCACAAGAAAUAUAUAUAUAUAUAUAUUUAUUUAUUUAUUUUUAAAUGAAAUUAUCUACCCUAAGAGAAAGGGAUGGGUUUAGUAUCACAAUGAGCUAGCAAUAGUGUGGUUCAAAUUCGCCUUUGACAAGAAUCAAACCUAAAAUCUCUCACUUACAAGUAAAGAGGAAUACCAUUAGAUCAUAGUAUUAAGUGGCAAUAUGAACAAGAAAUAUUAAAAUAUGUUUGAUUAUUAUUUUUAAACUCUGGAGUUUUAUUUAAAGGAAAACUAAUGAAAAGAGUUUGAAAACUUUGAGUUUUAAUGAUAAGGACAAAAUAAAGGGUAAAAUGAAUAGUACCAGGAUUGACUUUUUAGUGUAAAAAUGUGGUUUUUCGUUAAAGUGAACAGUACCGGGUGCUUUUCGUUAAAGUUCCCUUUAUUUAAUUUAAAAGCUAAAAAUUUAUUUAAUAACUAAUUUGAAUUUUUUAAAGAAUAAAAAUUAAAAGUCAAAAUUUAAAACUUAAAGAAUUAAAAGAAAAAAAACUUAAAGAAUUAGCUUUAAAAAACUGCAUAAUUGAAAGUAGUUAUCUAAUAAAUUUCUAAUUUUUAAAAAGACAAAACAAAAAUUGAAAGUGAAAUGAUAAUCAAUUGGCCUUGUAGCUUUCAGUUUUCAUAUUUUAGAAUAGAAAACUGAAAGCAGUUACCAAAAGAUUUUUAGUUUUAAAAAAUAACUACAAACAAAAAUUAAAUAUGAAAUGAUUAUAAAAUGGUCCCUCAACGUUCUAAAGGCCAACUUGGCUAAACAAGUUGCGACCAUAGUGGUGGGUUUGACAGUGAAAAAUGUACGAGAAGAAGCAAACGAGUGUAUCUAAACUCAAAAGGUCGAGAUUGCACUCAUGAUGAAAUAGUCAAACACUUCAGUAAUUAUACACACAAAAAUUGCAAUAUAACAAACAUAAAGACACUAUUUGACAAUAAGUAGUGCUGGCUUGAAGAGGAACUAGCAAUGAACCAACUAGUGUCUACCUAUGUCAAUUUUGUUCGCAACAUCUAUCAAGAACAGUGAAGUAGACCCAAGAGAUGCCAAUAACACACCAACGCAAAACUAAAAAUACUCACUAGGAGAGACUUACAAAAAACAACCUCACCAAGAAGCCUCUUAUUGACUUUAAUAUUAAAAUGAAAAAUAAAUCUACGACAGUCCAGAAGAAGAGAAAAUAGUAAAGCUAGGAGAGGGGAGAGAGGGGCUGUCACCGGCCACUAGCUGGAGCAAGGAGUCAUUUGUAGGUGAGAGGAGAGAGAGGCUAGCAGCAGUUUCUCAUAUCUUAGCAUUCCAAGAGUCCAUGCUUUCGAGUUAUAGUGACAAAAGAUAAAGCAAAAACAAUUGUAAUUUAAACAAGGUCUUUGUGCAGAAAAUUGACGACGUCCACAAUUGUUCAUCAAAAUUUCUGAUUGCUGGCCAGGUCCUAUAGUAGAGAAAAUGAAUAUCGACUAUUGCCAUGAUUUGGUGGAACUGCCUGCCGAGCUCUGUGAUCUUGUUCAUAUGAAGAUGCUCAGUAUCACCAACUGCCAUAAGUUAUCUGCCUUGCCUGAAGAGAUCGGAAAGCUGGAGAAUUUGGAUGUACUGCGACUAAGGUCCUGUACAGACUUGGUAAGGCUUCCGGUCUCGAUUGAGAACCUUGCUAAGUUGUGCUGUCUUGACAUGUAUGAUUGUUUUGGCAUUAGGAAGUUGCCUGAAGGCAUUGGUAAUAUGAGCGGUUUAAGAAAGAUCUACAUGGGACAAUGCUCAAGAUUGAAAGAGUUGCCUCUGUCAGCGUGGGAUCUUGACGAGCAGUUAGAGGAAGUGAUUUGUGAUGAAGAGAAGAAACAUUUGUGGGAAUCCUUCUUAGCCAGAGACAAAAUCAAGGUGGCAAAAGAAAAACCAAUCUGAAUUGGCUCGGAAAGCCUCAGUUGUGAGACCUGUCUUUCCUCAAUAAAUGAAGGAGCAACGCCAAUCUGAAUUAGCUUUCAUCUUCUUGUUUGAUUUUUCUUGUUUGAUUUCGUUCUUUGGUUCUGUUCAAUUUCUAUGUUUCAUCACAUCAGUUUGUAAGACUAUUUAUAUCAAACUCUCGCGUCUCAAGAAAUUUCGUGUUAUUUUUUCUUGUGUAAUUAUCAUGUUAUUGUUUUACACAAUAUAAAUCAUGUGUAUUAUAUUUUCUUGGAUUGUACAAAAAAUACGUUUUUACUGCACCUCAUAUGUCAAUUUUUUUUUAUUUUUUAUGGGGCUCAUAUGUAAAUCAUGCAUCUGGUUAUAUCUAUAAGUUUUCUUUCGUUGCUUACUCUGGUAUAGAUAUUAGGGUAAUGCUAGAGAUAUUAAAUUUGGAGACAAAAUUUGGAAACUAAAUAAUGUAUCACCAAUAAAAAUGAGCACGUUUAUCAACGGUUAAGUAAUAAAUCAAUUAUCAACUUACAUAUCAUUUAAUUUUUAAAAUUUUAUCUACAUAUUUAGUCUUUCUAGCAUUACUCUAGAUAUUAUAUAUUAAGAUAUUUUAAGAUGUAGUUUACCAUAUUUUAAUUUAAUGCAUGCAUAUAAUCGAUAUGCCAUUUAUAUGCUACUACAGUUGAUAUUGUCGAUAUUGCAAAGUUAAAAUUUUCAAAAUAUGAUCAGUAGUGCUCGAAGAGCAGUUUACUGCAACGUAGAAAGAAUGGUUAAAAUUUGAGGAAAAUGAUCAUCGUGAAUCCUUUUCUUAGGGAUUUCGUGAUCGGGAUCGUUCAUUGUACAUCGUGCAGUCAGUUUUCGUUAUGUGCUAUUUAUAUUUAAUUUUAAAUUUUAAAAUAAUUUCUAACCGAACUAUAUACGAUGGACCGCUUCGAUCAUGGGAUCUCCAGGAUCUCCAGAAAAGAGUUCCGUAGAGGAUUCUUUUCCAAAAUUGAUAUUUAUUGCUCAUCGGUUCGUGGUUAAAUAUUGACCGUUUAUUGCUCAUCUUUAUGCUUUUGUCUCCUUUCGAAAGUUGGUUUCACAAUUUAAUAAUAUGUUAGGUGGGUUCUCUCUUUCACUGUGAAAGAUUCCCACACACGAUGCAGUUUCGUGGUGACUUUCCAAGUCUCCCUCCACACUCCAACUCGGAAAUUUCCCAGACAUGGUGGUGCAGCUACUGUUGAAGUCAACGCGCUCCAGCCCCGAAAUUUCUAUCGAGCUUCAAUAGUAAGUAUUUAUAUUGCUUGAUCUCCAACAACGAAAGAGAAAAUCCUAACUUUGUAUUGCUUGUUUUCUUAAUCUCUUUAUUUUGGAAACCAAAUUUAUGUGGCUCACUUUUCUACAGUUUCUAAUCCGUUAUUGUUUUGGGAAAGUGGCUAUGGUCCGAAAUCAAAUCUCAAAUUCUCAAUUCUUAUAAAGUAUCGGCGACAUACUGAAAACUGAUAAUUUCCGCAAUGGGGUGAAAAAUGAUCGUUUCGGCCAAUUUUCCUCUACUUUUGUAAGUUUUUUCUGAUUUUGGUGUUGGUUUUUGUUGUUAAGAAUCAAGGAAUGAAUGGAGCAGGCGGCCUUAUCGGCGGGGCUGCUCUCGGAACAGCGUUCAAUGUGCUGUAUGAUGUCCUCGAUGAGCUGAUUACCAAGAAUGUAAUUUUUAAGCCCCUCCUCAAAGAGAUCAAAUCCAGGUUAGACUCUUUGGCACCAUUGUUGAAAGAUAUAGAAAAAUCCAACAAGAAAUUGGAUCUAUCGGAUAAGGAACUGGUAAACUUGAAAGAACAUUUGGAGGAGGGCGUAGAGGUCGUUCAGAAGUGCAAAAAGGUUCGAUGGUGGAGCGUGUACAAAAGAUACAAAUACGCCAACAGGCUGAUUGACUGGGAUGGAUCUCUUCAACGACUUUUGGAAAUACUAAACGUUCAGGGAAUAAGGGAUAUGAAGGACAGCUCCCUUUCGGUGAGGAAUAUAGAGAAUGCGCUCAGCAGAAUUGAAUCGAAUAUGGUGAUACCAAAACAACCCGACAGUGAAGCUUGGUGUGCAGUACCUCAACUUCCGCCGCUUGUGGUUGGAUUGGAUGUUCCUCUAAGGGAGUUGAAGAGGAUUCUUCUAAAGGACCAAAAUGUUUCAAUGGUUGUGCUGACUGCUCCCGGAGGAUGUGGGAAAACUACUUUGGCUACAAAGUUUUGUCAAGACACGGAUGUCAAAGGUAUCAUAUAUUAUACGUUAGCACUCGGAAUUGUAUGUGUUUUUUUUUUCUUUGUACAACUAUGGCAGAUUUAAAUGACCCCUCAAUGACAGACUUGUUAUGUUUAUUUUGAAUAGAUACAUUCAAGGAUAAUAUCUUCUUCGUCACGGUUUCGAAAAAGCCUAAAU
rnacentral:lncRNA from 1 species